rnacentral:rRNA from 1 species
GACGAACGCUGGCGGCGUGCUUAACACAUGCAAGUCGAACGGUAAGGCCCUGCUUUUGUUGGGUGCUCGAGUGGCGAACGGGUGAGUAACACGUGAGUAACCUGCCCUUUACUUUGGGAUAACUUCAGGAAACUGGUGCUAAUACCGGAUAUUCGCUCCUGCUCCAUUGUGGGUGUGUGAAAGUUUCGGCGGUGGGGGAUGGACUCGCGGCUUCUCAGCUUGUUGUUGGGGUAGUGGCUGACCAACGGGUUGAUGGAUAGCGGGCCUGAGGGGGUGACCAGCGAGAUAGGGACUGGGAUACGGCCCAGAGUCGUACGGGAGAAAGCAGUGGGGAGUAUGGAAGAAUGGGGGGAAGACGGAUGCAGAGACGCGGCGGGCGGGAUGAUGGCCAUCGGGUUGUAAAACGCUUUAGCCGGUGAAGAAGCGGGAGUGACGGUAAUGGGUAAAGAAGCACCGGCUAACUACGUG